rnacentral:pre_miRNA from 1 species
CCCUUAACUAUUAAAAGUUUCGUUUUGGUCCCUUAACUUAUUUUUUUGUUUCAUUUUGGUCCCUUAACUCUAAUACAUUCAUCAUAACAUAAAGGACCAAAGUGGUUGACGGAGGAAGAGUUAAGGGACCAAAGCGAAACCAAAAAGUAAGUUAAAGGACCAAAAAGAAACUUUUAAUAGUUAAGGGACCAAAAUGAUACCAAAAAGUAAGUUAAGGGACCAAAACGAAACUUUUAAUAGUUAAGGGA